rnacentral:rRNA from 1 species
UACGUAGGGUGCAAGCGUUAAUCGGAAUUACUGGGCGUAAAGCGUGCGCAGGCGGUUAUGUAAGACAGAUGUGAAAUGCCCGGGCUUAACCUGGGAACUGCAUUUGUGACUGCAUGGCUAGAGUUGGCAGAGGGGGGUAGAAUUCCACGUGUAGCAGUGAAAUGCGUAGAUAUGUGGAGGAACACCGAUGGCGAAGGCAGCCCCCUGGGAUAACACUGACGCUCAUGCACGAAAGCGUGGGGAGCAAACAGG